AAUUUUAUUUUUUUGAUUUUUUUGAUUUUUUGAUUAUUUUUCACUCUUUUUUUUAUUUAAAGCAUUUCUUGAGUGAAAAGAAACACAUUGCAACCGAUUGGCAUUAAAAUAAAUCAAUUUAUUUUUUUUGCAAAAUUUCUCAAAAAACACGUAAGGGGUAAGCCCUAUAAAAUUUUCGAGUAAAAAUUUUUUUGAAAUUUUUUUCUGAUUUUUCAUUCUUUUUUUAAUUUAAAGCAUUAUUUGAGUGAAAAGGAACAUAUUGCAACAAAUUCGCAAUAAAAUAUAUCACAUUUAAAAAUUUUGCUGAAUUGCAGAAAAAUGAGGAAAAUUUUACAUUUUCUCAAACAGGGUAAGGAACUUGGUUUCUCGCAUAACUUCUGGCACAUACAUCUGAGGGCAUGGCCGUCCGAGAAGAAAAUGUAGCCAUUGUUGCCAUCUAUCGACCACAGGUUAAAGAUUGGCGAUCCGUUGGAUACCGACCGAGUUAUAGGCAAAAUUUGGUGCGAAAAUGAGGAAAAUUUUACAUUUUCUCAAACAGGGUAAGGAACUUGGUUUCUCGAAUAACUUCUGGCACAUACAUCUGAGGGCAUGGCCGUCCGAGAAGAAAAUGUAGCCAUUGUUGCCAUCUAUCGACCACAGGUUAAAGAUUGGCGAUCCGUUGGAUACCGACCGAGUUAUAGGCAAAAUUUGGUGCAAAAAUGAGGAAAAUUUUACAUUUUUUCAAACAGGGUAAGGAACUUGGUUUCUCGAAUAACUUCUGGCACAUACAUCUGAGGGCAUGGCCGUCCGAGAAGAAAAUGUAGCCAUUGUUGCCAUCUAUCGACCACAGGUUAAAGAUUGGCGAUCCGUUGGAUACCGACCGAGUUAUAGGCAAAAUUUGGUGCAAAAAUGAGGAAAAUUUUACAUUUUCUCAAACAGGGUAAGGAACUUGGUUUCUCGAAUAACUUCUGGCACAUACAUCUGAGGGCAUGGCCGUCCGAGAAGAAAAUGUAGCCAUUGUUGCCAUCUAUCGACCACAGGUUAAAGAUUGGCGAUCCGUUGGAUACCGACCGAGUUAUAGACAAAACUUGGUGCAAAAAUGAGCCUUAGCAAAUUUUUAUUUCUUUGAUUUUUUUUGAUUUUUUGAUUAUUUUUCACUCUUUUUUGUAUUUAAAGCAUUUCUUGAGAGAAAAGAAACACAUUGCAACCGAUUGGCAUUAAAAUAAAUCAAUUUAAUUUUUUUUGCAAAAUUUCUCAAAAAAAACGUAAGGGGUAAGCCUUAUGAAAUUUUCAAGUGGAAAAUUUUUUUGAAAAUUUUUUCUGAUUUUUUAUUCUUUUUUUAAUUUAAAGCAUUAUUUGAGUGAAAACAAACUUAUUGCAACAAAUUCGCAAUAAAAUAUAUCACAUUUAAAAAUUUUGCUGAAUUGCAGAAAAAUGAGGAAAAUUUUACAUUUUCUCAAACAGGGUAAGGAACUUGGUUUCUCGAAUAACUUCUGGCACAUACAUCUGAGGGCAUGGCCGUCCGAGAAGAAAAUGUAGCCAUUGUUGCCAUAUAUCGACCACAGGUUAAAGAUUGGCGAUCCGUUGGAUACCGACCGAGUUAUAGGCAAAAUUUGGUGCAAAAAUGAGGAAAAUUUUACAUUUUCUCAAACAAGGUAAGGAACUUGGUUUCUCGAAUAACUUCUGGCACAUACAUCUGAGGGCAUGGCCGUCCGAGAAGAAAAUGUAGCCAUUGUUGCCAUCUAUCGACCACAGGUUAAAGAUUGGCGAUCCGUUGGAUACCGACCGAGUUAUAGACAAAACUUGGUGCAAAAAUGAGCCUUAGUAAAAUUUUAUUUUUUUGAUUUUUUUGAUUUUUUUAUUAUUUUUCACUCUUUUUUGUAUUUAAAGCAUUUCUUGAGUGAUAAGAAACACAUUGCAACCGAUUGGCAUUAAAAUAAAUCAAUUUAUUUUUUUUUGCAAAAUUUCUCAAAAAAAACGUAAGGGGUAAGCCUUAUAAAAUUUUCGAGUAAAAAUUUUUUUGAAAUUUUUUUCUGAUUUUUUAUUCUUUUUUUAAUUUAAAGCAUUAUUUGAGUGAAAAGGAACAUAUUGCAACAAAUUCGCAAUAAAAUAUAUCACAUUUAAAAAUUUUGCUGAAUUGCAGAAAAAUGAGGAAAAUUUUACAUUUUCUCAAACAGGGUAAGGAACUUGGUUUCUCGAAUAACUUCUGGCACAUACAUCUGAGGGCAUGGCCGUCCGAGAAGAAAAUGUAGCCAUUGUUGCCAUCUAUCGACCACAGGUUAAAGAUUGGCGAUCCGUUGGAUACCGACCGAGUUGUAGGCAAAAUUUGGUGCAAAAAUGAGGAAAAUUUUACAUUUUCUCAAACAGGGUAAGGAACUUGGUUUGUCGAAUAACUUCUGACACAUACAUCUGAGGGCAUGGCCGUCCGAGAAGAAAAUGUAGCCAUUGUUGCCAUCUAUCGACCACAGGUUAAAGAUUGGCGAUCCGUUGGAUACCGACCGAGUUAUAGACAAAACUUGGUGCAAAAAUGAGCCUUAGUAAAAUUUUAUUUUUUUGAUUUUUUUGAUUUUUUGAUUAUUUUUCACUCUUUUUUUUAUUUAAAGCAUUUCUUGAGUGAAAAGAAACACAUUGCAACCGAUUGGCAUUAAAAUAAAUCAAUUUAAUUUUUUUUGCAAAAUUUCUCAAAAAAACGUAAGGGGUAAGCCUUAUGAAAUUUUCGAGUGGAAAAUUUUUUUGAAAUUUUUUUCUGAUUUUUUAUUCUUUUUUUAAUUUAAAGCAUUAUUUGAGUGAAAAGGAACUUAUUGCAACAAAUUCGCAAUAAAAUAUAUCACAUUUAAAAAUUUUGCUGAAUUGCAGAAAAAUGAGGAAAAUUUUACAUUUUCUCAAACAGGGUAAGGAACUUGGUUUCUCGAAUAACUUCUGGCACAUACAUCUGAGGGCAUGGCCGUCCGAGAAGAAAAUGUAGCCAUUGUUGCCAUCUAUCGACCACAGGUUAAAGAUUGGCGAUCCGUUGGAUACCGACCGAGUUAUAGGCAAAACUUGGUGCAAAAAUGAGCCUUAGUAAAAUUUUAUUUUUUUGAUUUUUUUGAUUUUUUGAUUAUUUUUCACUCUUUUUUUUUAUUUAAAGCAUUUCUUGAGUGAAAAGAAACACAUUGCAACCGAUUGGCAUUAAAAUAAAUCAAUUUAUUUUUUUUUGCAAAAUUUCUCAAAAAAAACGUAAGGGGUAAGCCUUAUAAAAUUUUCGAGUAAAAAUUUUUUUGAAAUUUUUUUCUGAUUUUUUAUUCUUUUUUUAAUUUAAAGCAUUAUUUGAGUGAAAAGGAACUUAUUGCAACAAAUUCGCAAUAAAAUAUAUCACAUUUAAAAAUUUUGCUGAAUUGCAGAAAAAUGAGGAAAAUUUUACAUUUUCUCAAACAGGGUAAGGAACUUGGUUUCUCGAAUAACUUCUGGCACAUACAUCUGAGGGCAUGGCCGUCCGAGAAGAAAAUGUAACCAUUGUUGCCAUCUAUCGACCACAGGUUAAAGAUUGGCGAUCCGUUGGAUACCGACCGAGUUGUAGGCAAAAUUUGGUGCAAAAAUGAGGAAAAUUUUACAUUUUCUCAAACAGGGUAAGGAACUUGGUUUGUCGAAUAACUUCUGACACAUACAUCUGAGGGCAUGGCCGUCCGAGAAGAAAAUGUAGCCAUUGUUGCCAUCUAUCGACCACAGGUUAAAGAUUGGCGAUCCGUUGGAUACCGACCGAGUUAUAGACAAAACUUGGUGCAAAAAUGAGCCUUAGUAAAAUUUUAUUUUUUUGAUUUUUUUGAUUUUUUGAUUAUUUUUCACUCUUUUUUUUAUUUAAAGCAUUUCUUGAGUGAAAAGAAACACAUUGCAACCGAUUGGCAUUAAAAUAAAUCAAUUUAAUUUUUUUUGCAAAAUUUCUCAAAAAAACGUAAGGGGUAAGCCUUAUGAAAUUUUCGAGUGGAAAAUUUUUUUGAAUUUUUUUUCUGAUUUUUUAUUCUUUUUUUAAUUUAAAGCAUUAUUUGAGUGAAAAGGAACUUAUUGCAACAAAUUCGCAAUAAAAUAUAUCACAUUUAAAAAUUUUGCUGAAUUGCAGAAAAAUGAGGAAAAUUUUACAUUUUCUCAAACAGGGUAAGGAACUUGGUUUCUCGAAUAACUUCUGGCACAUACAUCUGAGGGCAUGGCCGUCCGAGAAGAAAAUGUAGCCAUUGUUGCCAUCUAUCGACCACAGGUUAAAGAUUGGUGAUCCGUUGGAUACCGACCGAGUUAUAGACAAAACUUGGUGCAAAAAUGAGCCUUAGCAAAUUUUUAUUUCUUUGAUUUUUUUUGAUUUUUUGAUUAUCUUUCACUCUUUUUUGUAUUUAAAGCAUUUCUUGAGUGAAAAGAAACACAUUGCAACCGAUUGGCAUUAAAAUAAAUCAAUUUAAUUUUUUUUGCAAAAUUUCUCAAAAAAAACGUAAGGGGUAAGCCUUAUGAAAUUUUCGAGUGGAAAAUUUUUUUGAAAUUUUUUCUGAUUUUUUAUUCUUUUUUUAAUUUAAAGCAUUAUUUGAGUGAAAAGGAACUUAUUGCAACAAAUUCGCAAUAAAAUAUAUCACAUUUAAAAAUUUUGCUGAAUUGCAGAAAAAUGAGGAAAAUUUUACAUUUUCUCAAACAGGGUAAGGAACUUGGUUUCUCGAAUAACUUCUGGCACAUACAUCUGAGGGCAUGGCCGUCCGAGAAGAAAAUGUAGCCAUUGGUGCCAUCUAUCGACCACAGGUUAAAGAUUGGUGAUCCGUUGGAUACCGACCGAGUUAUAGACAAAACUUGGUGCAAAAAUGAGCCUUAGCAAAUUUUUAUUUCUUUGAUUUUUUUUGAUUUUUUGAUUAUCUUUCACUCUUUUUUGUAUUUAAAGCAUUUCUUGAGUGAAAAGAAACACAUUGCAACCGAUUGGCAUUAAAAUAAAUCAAUUUAAUUUUUUUUGCAAAAUUUCUCAAAAAAAACGUAAGGGGUAAGCCUUAUGAAAUUUUCGAGUGGAAAAUUUUUUUGAAAUUUUUUCUGAUUUUUUAUUCUUUUUUUAAUUUAAAGCAUUAUUUGAGUGAAAAGGAACAUAUUGCAACAAAUUCGCAAUAAAAUAUAUCACAUUUAAAAAUUUUGCUGAAUUGCAGAAAAAUGAGGAAAAUUUUACAUUUUCUCAAACAGGGUAAGGAACUUGGUUUCUCGAAUAACUUCUGGCACAUACAUCUGAGGGCAUGGCCGUCCGAGAAGAAAAUGUAGCCAUUGGUGCCAUCUAUCGACCACAGGUUAAAGAUUGGCGAUCCGUUGGAUACCGACCGAGUUAUAGACAAAACUUGGUGCAAAAAUGAGCCUUAGUAAAAUUUUAUUUUUUUGAUUUUUUUGAUUUUUUGAUUAUUUUUCACUCUUUUUUGUAUUUAAAGCAUUUCUUGAGUGAAAAGAAACACAUUGCAAUCGAUUGGCAUUAAAAUAAAUCAAUUUAAUUUUUUUUGCAAAAUUUCUCAAAAAAAACGUAAGGGGUAAGCCUUAUGAAAUUUUCGAGUGGAAAAUUUUUUUGAAAUUUUUUUCUGAUUUUUUAUUCUUUUUUUAAUUUAAAGCAUUAUUUGAGUGAAAAGGAACUUAUUGCAACAAAUUCGCAAUAAAAUAUAUCACAUUUAAAAAUUUUGCUGAAUUGCAGAAAAAUGAGGAAAAUUUACAUUUUCUCAAACAGGGUAAGGAACUUGGUUUCUCGAAUAACUUCUGGCACAUACAUCUGAGGGCAUGGCCGUCCGAGAAGAAAAUGUAGCCAUUGGUGCCAUCUAUCGACCACAGGUUAAAGAUUGGUGAUCCGUUGGAUACCGACCGAGUUAUAGACAAAACUUGGUGCAAAAAUGAGCCUUAGCAAAUUUUUAUUUCUUUGAUUUUUUUUGAUUUUUUGAUUAUCUUUCACUCUUUUUUGUAUUUAAAGCAUUUCUUGAGUGAAAAGAAACACAUUGCAACCGAUUGGCAUUAAAAUAAAUCAAUUUAAUUUUUUUUGCAAAAUUUCUCAAAAAAAACGUAAGGGGUAAGCCUUAUGAAAUUUUCGAGUGGAAAAUUUUUUUGAAAAUUUUUUCUGAUUUUUUAUUCUUUUUUUAAUUUAAAGCAUUAUUUGAGUGAAAAGGAACUUAUUGCAACAAAUUCGCAAUAAAAUAUAUCACAUUUAAAAAUUUUGCUGAAUUGCAGAAAAAUGAGGAAAAUUUUACAUUUUCUCAAACAGGGUAAGGAACUUGGUUUCUCGAAUAACUUCUGGCACAUACAUCUGAGGGCAUGGCCGUCCGAGAAGAAAAUGUAGCCAUUGUUGCCAUCUAUCGACCACAGGUUAAAGAUUGGCGAUCCGUUGGAUACCGACCGAGUUAUAGACAAAACUUGGUGAAAAAAUGAGGAAAAUUUACAUUUUCUCAAACAGGGUAAGGAACUUGGUUUCUCGAAUAACUUCUGGCACAUACAUCUGAGGGCAUGGCCGUCCGAGAAGAAAAUGUAGCCAUUGUUGCCAUCUAUCGACCACAGGUUAAAGAUUGGUGAUCCGUUGGAUACCGACCGAGUUGUAGGCAAAAUUUGGUGCAAAAAUGAGGAAAAUUUUACAUUUUCUCAAACAGGGUAAGGAACUUGGUUUCUCGAAUAACUUCUGGCACAUACAUCUGAGGGCAUGGCCGUCCGAGAAGAAAAUGUAGCCAUUGUUGCCAUCUAUCGACCACAGGUUAAAGAUUGGCGAUCCGUUGGAUACCGACCGAGUUGUAGGCAAAAUUUGGUGCAAAAAUGUGGAAAAUUUUACAUUUUCUCAAACAGGGUAAGGAACUUGGUUUCUCGAAUAACUUCUGGCACAUACAUCUGAGGGCAUGGCCGUCCGAGAAGAAAAUGUAGCCAUUGUUGCCAUCUAUCGACCACAGGUUAAAGAUUGGCGAUCCGUUGGAUACCGACCGAGUUAUAGGCAAAAUUUGGUGCAAAAAUGUGGAAAAUUUUACAUUUUCUCAAACAGGGUAAGGAACUUGGUUUCUCGAAUAACUUCUG